rnacentral:rRNA from 1 species
CCUACGGGCGGCAGCAGUGAGGAAUAUUGGUAAAUGGGCGCGAGUCUGAACCAGCCAAGUAGCGUGAAGGAUGACUGCCCUACGGGUUGUAAACUUCUUUUAUAAAGGAAUAAAGUGAGGCCCGUGUGCCUUUUUUUAUUUACUUUAUGAAUAAGGAUCGGCUAACUCCGUGCCCGCAGCCGCGGUAAUACGGAGGAUCCGAGCGUUAUCCGGAUUUAUUGGGUUUAAAGGGAGCGUAGAUGGGUUGUUAAGUCAGUUGUGAAAGUUUGCGGCUCAACCGUAAAAUUGCAAUUGAUACUGGCAGUCGUGAGUACAGUUGAGGUAGGCGGAAUUCGUGGUGUAGCGGUGAAAUGCUUAGAGAUCACGAAGAACUCCGAUUGCGAAGGCAGUUUACUAAACUGCCACUGACAUUGAUGCUCGAAAGUGUGGGUAUCAAACAGGAUUAGAUACCCGGGUAGUC